CAAUAGCGUAUAUUAAAGUUGUUGCGGUUAAAAAGCUCGUAGUUGGAUUUCUGCCGAGGACGACCGGUCCGCCCUCUGGGUGAGUAUCUGGCUCGGCCUGGGCAUCUUCUUGGAGAACGUAGCUGCACUUGACUGUGUGGUGCGGUAUCCAGGACUUUUACUUUGAGGAAAUUAGAGUGUUUCAAGCAGGCACACGCCUUGAAUACAUUAGCAUGGAAUAAUAGCAUAGGACCGCGGUCUGAAGCUGUUGGUUUUUGGACCGGGUAAUAAAAAUAGGGGAUAGUUGGGGUAGGUUCGUUAUUAAUACUGUCAGAGGUGAAAUUCUUGGAUUUUUUAAAGACGGACUACUGCGAAAGCAUCUGCCCAGGAUGUUUUUAUUGAUCAAGAACGAAAGUUAGGGGAUCGAAGACGAUCAGAU
rnacentral:rRNA from 1 species